AGAGUUUGAUCCUGGCUCAGAAUCAACGCUGGCGGCGUGCCUAACACAUGCAAGUCGAACGGGAAAACGGGGGCAACUCCGUGAGUAUAGUGGCGUACGGGUGAGUAACACGUGACUACCUACCUUUGAGUGGGGGAUAACCCCGGGAAACCGGGGCUAAUACCGCAUAACAUCGCAAGAUCAAAGAAGCAAUUCGCUUAAAGAGGGGGUCGCGGCUGAUUAGCUAGUUGGUAGGGUAAUGGCCUACCAAGGCGAUGAUCGGUAGCCGGCCUGAGAGGGCGCACGGCCACACUGGAACUGAAACACGGUCCAGACUCCUACGGGAGGCAGCAGUGGGGAAUUUUGCGCAAUGGGGGAAACCCUGACGCAGCAACGCCACGUGGAGGAUGAAGUCCCUUGGGACGUAAACUCCUUUCGACCGGGACGAUUAUGACGUACCGUGAAGAAGCCUU
rnacentral:rRNA from 1 species